GCCAGGUGUGGUGGCACACGCCUGUAAUCCCGGCUACUUGGGAGGCCGAGGCAGGAGAAUUGCUUGAACCCAGGAGAUGGAGGUUGCAGUGAGCCAAGAUCGUGCCACUGCACUCCAGCCUGGGCAACAAAGCAAGAUUCCGUCUCAA
rfam:Homo sapiens chromosome X, GRCh38 reference primary assembly.